GGGGAACUGGCACCAGCCCUAGCAGGGCCUGCAGAUGAGACGCCGGUCUCCCUCUGUGACAGGGUAUUUGAAUCUUUCUCUCCCUAUCAGGGCAAAUGGGACACAGAUCAACUCAGGAAGACAAAGGCAGCCCCUGCAGGCAGUGGUGGGGUGCAAAUGCUGCCGGCCCAGCGCCUCUCCCCACCCACACGGCGCCAGGACGAAACCCUGAUGUGGCCGGGGCUCCGGCGAGGGCUUUCCGGGCCGACGGUGUGAACUGCACAGCUCCACGCCCAAGUGCAGCCACACCCUGAGGUCCUGAGGGUCACAGGGUCACAGCUCCAGCAUGAGGAUUUGCCGGGACAGAGUUCAGCCUGUACUGAGCCGAACAGAAAAUCCCCGGCACGCUGUCUCCUCCAGCCUCCAGACCACGGUGGGUGGGGAGGCAACAUUUUACCUCUUGGGGUUUUUUGGUCGGGCCUGAUAAUUAAAAUCAGCAGAUGAGCUGGAGAAAGGCACACGCACUCCAGCACGGUCUGUGUGGCCGGGAAUGGCCUUUCCUUCCUGAAAGAGGAGGUAACACCCCACGGGGAAGACGCUCUCCAGAGCCAGAAGAAAGCAGCGUUCUUAUCCUUGUGGAUGGCUGUUUCAGCUCAAAACAACCCUUACAACAGUGUGGCUUAUUUGGGCAGCCCCUUCUGCCCCUUGACAGGCACCUCGCGAGCCGGCGCACCCCCCCGCCCCCAGGACCCGCUUCCCGCACCCGGGGCUCCUCAGCCAGGGGGAAGCAGGUGUGACCCCCAGGCUGCAGG
rnacentral:lncRNA from 1 species